rnacentral:rRNA from 1 species
GAUGAACGCUGGCGGCGUGCUUAACACAUGCAAGUCGAGCGAAGCGAUUUGAUGAAGUUUCGGAUGGAUUAAGAUGACUGAGCGGCGGACGGGUGAGUAACGCGUGGGUAACCUGCCUCGAUACAGGGGGAUAACAGUUAGAAAUGACUGCUAAAAUACCGCAUAAGCGCACAGGACCGCAUGGUCCGGUGUGAAAAAACUCCGGUGGUACUGAGAUGGACCCGCGUCUGAUUAGCUUGUGCGGGUAACGGCCACAAGCGACGAUCAGUAGCCGACCUGAGAGGGUG